rnacentral:lncRNA from 1 species
CCUCUCCUCUCCCGCAGGACGACCCCGUCACCAACCUCAACAACGCCUUCGAGGUGGCCGAGAAGUUCCUGGACAUUCCCAAGAUGCUGGAUGCCGAGGGUGGAUUUAGCCGGGAUUUGGGAUCCUCAGAGCGGAUUCCGGGCUCUGCCAGGGGCAUUCCCCGCUUUGUUCCCAGUUUAACGCAAUCCGGCGAUCCCAUAAAAAUCCAGGAUCCGUAAAAAACCCUGGAUCCCGUCGCUCUGCGAUCCCGUGGAUCCUGGAAUUCCAGGAUUCCUUAAAUCCACAAUUACCCAGCUCAGGGAUCCCAGAAUUCCUGGAUCCCACGAUUCCCAGACAUCACAGAUCCGCCGGGAUCCCCCAGAUCCGCCGGGAUCCCCCAGAUCCAGGAUUCCCACGGGAUUCUGGGAUUCUUUGAUUCCACGAUCCCGUGCUCCCGGGACCGGAGGAUUCUCAGGACUCCCCACUUGUACGAUCCCACAAUUCCAGGAUCCCACAAAUCUGGGAUUCCCAAAUUCCGGCAUCCCAUAAUAUUCCUUAUUCCAGGACCCCACAAUUCCAGGACCCCCCAAUUCCAGGACCCCCCAAUUCCAGGAUCCCCCAAUUCCAGGACCCCAAAAUUCCAGGAUCCCCCAAUUCCACGACCCCCCAAUUCCAGGAUCCCAGGACCCCCCAAUUCCAGGACCCCCCAAUUCCGGGACCCCAGGACCCCCCAAUUCCAGGAUCCCCCAAUUCCAGGAUCCCCCCAAUCCCAGGACCCCCCAAUUCCAGGACCCCAGGACCCCCC